rnacentral:rRNA from 1 species
CGACUCUCGGCAACGGAUAUCUCGGCUCUCGCAUCGAUGAACAACCUAGYCAAAUGMGAUACUUGGUGUGAAUUGGACAAUCUCGUGAACCAUCGAGUCUUUGAACGCAAGUUGCGCCCGAAGCCAUCGUGUCCAUGGCACGUCUGUCUGGUCGUCACGCA